GGAAUAUUGGACAAUGGGCGAAAGCCUGAUCCAGCAAUGCCGCGUGUGUGAAGAAGGUCUUCGGAUUGUAAAGCACUUUCGACGGGGACGAUGAUGACGGUACCCGUAGAAGAAGCCCCGGCUAACUUCGUGCCAG
rnacentral:rRNA from 1 species